GGUGGCUCAGUGGUAAAGUGCUUGCCUUGCAUGCAGGAGGCCCUGGGUUCGAUUCCUCAGAACCA
rnacentral:tRNA from 1 species